GGUCUGGUUCAUCCCUGCUACUUCUGGACUUCCCUGGUGGUCCAGUGGUUAAGAAGCCACUGCCAGUGCGGGGUACAUGGGUUCCAUCUCUGGCCCAGGAAGAUUCCACAUGCCACAAGCCCCUGUGCCACAGCUACUGAGCCUGGGCUCUAGAGCCCACAAUUACUGAAGCCCACAAGCCCCAGAGCCCGUGGCCUACAACGAGAGAACCCACCACGAUGAGAAAUGUGUGCGCCGCAACUAGAGAAAGCCUGUGUAAAGCAACCAAGAACCAGCGCAGUCAAUGAUUAAUUACUUAAUUUUUGAAAAAUCAUGUUACUCCCGGGAGAGAGGUGGAAUUUGAAGGAGGAAAGGGGAGAAAGGGUGUUAUGGGCUGAACUCUGUCCCCACCAGAAUUCAUACAUUAAAACCCUAAACCCCACCCCCACCCCCUGUAUCUUAGACUGUGACUGUAUUUUAGAGAUGGGGCCUUUUAAUGGGGGUGAUUAAGUUAAAAUAUUGGCUGGACCCUAAUCCAAAGUGAGUGGUGUUCCUGUAAGAAGAGGAACCUUGGACACACAAAAGGACACCAGAGGCUCAUGGACAGAGGGGUGAAGGGGCAGCAAGAGGGCAGAUGUCUGCACCCCAACAAGAGAGACCUCAAAGGAAACCCAUCUUGCGGGCCCCUUGAACUUGAACUUUCACCCUCCAGAACCACAAGAAGGAGCCAGCUCAGAGAAUACAAGGCUGUUAAUAUUAUGGGGUCCUCCUGCCAGCCCAGGUUCCCAUCACCCCAGGUCUUGGGGACAGUCACAAGCACAGGGAGCUCUGCUCCAUGCCUGCGGUGACAAAGAAGCAGCGUACGUAUACACACUGCUGAUUCACUUUGCUGCACAGCAGAAACUAACACCACACUGUAAAACAACUAAACGCCAAUUAAGAAAAGAAGAAGAAGAAAAAGAACCUAAACUUCAGUAGGUCUUGAGACCAGGUAUGUGAUUUUAAUUAAAAGACAGUGGGUUCAAUCCCAGUCUGGGUUUUGGCCGAGUUCAAGUCCCAAUCCAAAUUGUACAGGUUCAUCUCCAGUCUUUGAAAUCUCCCCAGUCCCUCCAGCCUCCCAGGGUCUAAAAGACAGCUGUCCCUUUGGCCCUCCAUGUGCUAUGGCCCAAGUCGUGACUGCUUUCCUGGACAUUUGAAGCCCUGUGUCUGUCCCUUGCAGCUCCCUGUUCAGUUCCCCGGGCCCCAAAGCAGGAAAGAGCAUCCCCUCUUUUCUCAGGAGGCUCUCCAAGCUCUCAGAGCCUGUGCCUUGAUGAAUUAAUUAUUGCCCCCCAUCUGCUCCUCUAACUUAAGUAUAAGUUCCAGUCAAGAUGGUAGCAGGAGGUGGUGACAGGGACUUACUGUGUAACUGUGAGCAGGUUAACAAUCCCCUCCUUGGGGGUAGUUGUGAGUGUUAAAAGAGAAAGUAAGUCCUGCUAGUCACCCAGUACAUUCUCAGUGAAUGCUGGUGGGAG
ensembl:lncRNA